AUUUCAUCUGUUCUUCCAAAAAACGUGCAAGAUCAUCAUCUUUUGCUUUCCAGAAGUCCAUCUCAGAGUCUAAUACAGAUACAAUGCUUGCUGAGAAAAGAGGAAGAUCAUCUUCCUUUACCAUUCUUCCUAGGUUCCCUCCCUCCCGGCCAACAAAGAACAACAUAUUCAUGACCUCAGCUCUUCUUCAACGAAACACUGACAUUGAAAGUACAAAAGAAGGAUCCUUGUCAGAAAGUCAGUUGCGGAAUGUCAUUAGACCUGCCAUUUUACAACCUCCACAAGCCCUGACCUGUUCUGAAAAUCCUGUAGUGUCUCUAGUGACUAAGAAACAAGCACAUAUUCAGGUAAAAAGAAAAGCAAUUUUACUGACAAAAAAUAUGUUUGAAUCUCCAUCAAAUGAAUAA
rnacentral:lncRNA from 1 species